UUUUUCUUCUUCUUCUUCUUCCUCCUCCAUGGCACGCGGUGCUGCCCUCCUGGCUCUCAUCUGCUGCUGCUGGUUAGCAAUAGCAUGCUCGGCGGCAGCCCAAGUUGUUCCGGACGGACACCGUGAGCCAAGGACUCCGCCAUCACCGCAGCCCGGGAACCAGAACCCGGCGCCGGUCGAGAUUGCGCCGCCACCGCCGUCUACAGGGACAUUGGCGCUUGCGCCUCACCGCAAGACCCUGCAGCAGGCUGUUUCGAGCGUUCCUCGUGUAUGAAGCACUGUCACUCCGAUAUGUUCUUCUCUAUUCAUGUACGAUUGGUGAUCGUGCCAACUAAGGCAACAAACAUAAGACCACGGAACGUGUAAUCUUACGUUCUUGGUGACCAGGCUUGUUUGUUGGGCAUGAUCCGCUUUAUAUAUAAAGCAACAACCAAUAUGCCAAUCGAUACCAGGCUUUGUGCAGCUCUUCAUCUUCUUCUUCUUCUUCCAUGACACGCUGUGUUGCCCUCCUGGCUCUCAUCUGCUGUUCAUUAGCAUGCUCGGCGACGGCCCAAGGUAAAUAAGUAAGAGAUAUUUUACGAUUAACUACUACACGGAAGGGUGGCCGUCUGAUUCUAUCGGCAGUUAAGUUGUGACGAUGAAACUAGUAAAGUAUAAAGUUGUUUGUGCUUGCUAGUUUCAUUAUGUCAAGAUGCCAUAUUUAUUCAUAAUUUCUAAAAAUAUGGCAGUUAAGUUAUUUUUUAUCAGAUAAGUAAGUACUUACUAAUAUGAUAAGUAAGUACAACAAAUGUGGUAAGUAAAAGCUGUUACAUCUUUGGGAGAAAAAAAGAUCCAACCAGGGCAACAUCUUGCUUGUUACAUCUUUUGUCUAGCUUUUUUGUAAGUAGAUACAUGUUCUUGUAAGGUAGCUAGGAUGGAGAUUUUGUAUGUACCUGUGAUGUUUUUGGUCCUUAUUUAUGUUAAGUCACGACAUGUCUCAGUAGAGUGGAGAAAUAAGAGAUCACAGGAUGGAUGGAAAUGGUUAGGACCGUGGGAAGUGCUUCGUAAUCAGUUGUGGGCGCACCGUUUUUAGGCCGAGCUCUCAUGGCUUUUGGUCUAGGAACAGACUGGCUUUAGUGAGUUGUCCCUUCCGUGCUCAAGGGGAUGGAAGGUGACGUACGCAGUAGGGCCGCCGCACGGGAAGCACUGGGUGCGGCGCCGCUGCCUAGUGGCUUUCUUCGUUUUUUUAAUCUUAUUUCAACUUCAGACUUUUUGUGUCCUUAAUAUGCAUUAUUCAAAGAGGCCUCAUACAUUUUCAA